CCACCCCCCGCCUCCUUUCUUUCUCUCCUUGCCCGAACCUGCUGCCGAUUCCCCUCACUCUCUUCUCCUUCCUCUCUCUGUCCGCGCACGCCAUGGCCGCACGCACGCCCCUCUGAUGCCCGCGCGAGCCCCUCUGCCAUGGCCGCGGGCCCCUCCUCCAAGACCGACUGGCCGCCAUGACCAUUGCCACCUCCAUAGCGAAUCGCAGGCGAUGGGUGGCCAGCGCUCCCAGAUCUCUCCGACCUCGAUCCGCCGCCAGAUCGAGCAGGCGCUCCAAGACUGGCGACGAUCAUGCCCAUGCCGAGCCCUAGCCUGAGUUCCCAUCCUGCUCGAUUGCCAACCCCUCCAUGGCGGCCGGCGGCGGGGUGCCGUGGGCGGAGCGGGAUGUAGCCGGGCCCCUCAAAUCUUCGGCGGGAGAGCUCGUGCUGUUCGGGCGGCCGCUGGUGAAAAAUGGAUGAUGCUGGCAUGGUGUUCCUUCUCGAUGCUAUUUACAGGCCAUCCUUUGCCAGGUUCCCACUGCGAGAGGAGUUCACCGACAGCCAUAUGCAUCACACCAGGCUGUUCCCUGAGGUUCAUGGGAGGCGUGAUAUGAUUGACAAGAGUGGGAACAUACUUCCAGGAACUGUGAUUGACCUCAUGAUUUGCCACCCUACAGAGUUUGAGUUCUACUUGUGCAGCCAUGCUGGCAUUCAGGGAACUAGCAGGACAACACACUACCAUGUUCUUUAUGAUGAGAAUCACUUCACAACCGAUGCGCUUCAGUCAAUGACCAAUAAUCUCUGCUACACCUAUUCUCGUUGCACUCGUGCAGUCUCUGUUGAUGAAGUCAAGGGAACACCUGAUGAGACUUCGGCUAUUGCAACAACACAAUGCCCACUUGCAGAGAAGGGAUCCAAAUCAACCGGCUCUUAAUGGUGCUAUGAACUCUGGUGUAUCAGUCAACAUGGCAGCCCCUCAGUAGCAGUUUCAGUCAAGAAACCAGCAAGUUUGAGCAAACAUGGCACCAUCCAUGAGUCUUGCAGCGAAAGGUCUGCUCCCCUUUGGAGCGCUCCCCUCGAGCGGUGUCGCUAAGAGGCCGGUGUUCGUGACCGCCUCACUGGAGCACAAGACAAGCGAUUAUAAGAGGAAGCUCCUGAAGCUUGCGCUCGGAGGAGUCGGCCUGCCCACCUUGUUGAGUUUCAAGAAGGCUUUCGCCGAUGACCAGGGCGUCUUUUCCUCCAGGAUGUCUUACUUGAGCUGGUUGCCUCCCUGGCCUUACUGCUGCUGCCGGUUGCUUCCCCGUCCCCUUCCCCUACAGUGCUAUAUUGCAUCACUGAUCUGCACUAUUUGGUGUGUUUCAUUCCUAGUAUUGUUAUGUUCAACCACAUUGCCAGUGUUCAGAAAUAACACCUACUCACUAUGCAAAUACAUGCAAUAUAAUCUGAAAUUCAUUCAGUUUGACUGUGCGUAAACACUGUAGUGUACAACUAUCAACUUGUUUCACUAUUUAGUUUGUCACCCAUUCAGCUUACUUACUGGGGCAUCUUUCUUGUGAGAGUUUACUUAAUAGUACAGUAUCUUAGAAGAAACUACCAUGUCUCCGGAAUGAAUCAUCGAUCGCUCUUUAUAAACUUACAACUCGGUUUCUUUCAUAUAAGUUCCGCUGCCUUUCUUUAGGUUGAGCUACUGCCCUGUUAAUUAUUGUAACAAACAUUAUCAUUUGCCAGUUUGCUCUGUGUUGAGAACUAAACAAUAAGUUUUGUUUGCCAAUUAGCUUUCUGUGUGCAUGCUCUUAAUCCCCAUAGCACUAAGAUAGGACCUUACUGAGCCUCAUAUUACUAAUUUCUGAAUCAAAAAUUAUUAUUUCUGUCCUCAACAAGUCACGGCGCUACGUUCUCUUUUUUGUUCAGUUAGCUCUGUCAAAUAUAAUCAACCUGCCUAUGUUCCAUUUUGCUAUUUGUACUUAGGUAGAAAAAGCUAAAAUCUGUACAUGUAAUUUUUUCUUCUGUAAUGCUAAUUUGAAAUGACACACAGGUCAUUAUUGGUGCUGCUACUGCUGUUGUUGUGGUUGUUGGAGGUGUUGCUGUUGAAUCUGGCAGAGCUGCCAUUCGGGCCCCAAGAGGUAACUUUCAUCAGCCACAACCCCACAACAAUGGCUCAAGGUUCUGUGCCCCAUCACCCCUCUUUCUAAAUUACUGAAAUGAACCAAGAUCUCAUAUAUUUAGGAACAGAGGUAGUAGAAGGAUAAAAUAUAACAGCAAGGGAUGUUUCUAAUUUGGUUAUGCUAGAAUAAUGCAUCAACUCGUGGUAUUCUUGGAUGUUACUCUAGGUGUCAAAAUGAUAGUAAAACCUAGGAUCUUGCAUGGUUCUUGAAUUAAUUUUUCUAUUUUAUUGCUAACAAAUAUUGCCCAUGUUGAGACUCUAAACAUGUGGAUGUUCCUCUCAUUUACAGGAAUUCUACCCGAAGAAAUUUGGAGAAAGCUUGAAGCCCUAGUUAGCGACUUGCUUUAUAUGUUAUUGACUUGUAAUGCUAAAUUUGAUGAGAAUUUUGAUGUACUAUUGCACAUGUUACUCGAAUGUUGGUAUUGAUGUACAUAUACUCAC